rnacentral:rRNA from 1 species
AAUCAACGCUGGCGGCGUGCCUCAGACAUGCAAGUCGAACGCGAAAGUCUCCUUCGGGGGACAAGUAGAGUGGCGCACGGGUGAGUAACACGUAGGUAAUCUACCUUCGGAUGGGGAAUAACAAUCGGAAACGGUUGCUAAUACCGCAUAAUGCAGCGGCACCUAAUGGUGACAGUUGUUAAAGCGGGGAUCGAAAGACCUCGCGUCUGAAGAGGAGCCUGCGGCGGAUUAGCUAGUUGGUAAGGUAAUGGCUUACCAAGGCUACGAUCCGCAACCGGCCUGAGAGGGCGGUCGGUCACACUGACACUGACAUACGGGUCAGACUCCUACGGGAGGCAGCAGUCGGGAAUUUUGGGCAAUGGGCGAAAGCCUGACCCAGCAACGCCGCGUGAAGGAUGAAAUCCCUCGGGAUGUAAACUUCG